rnacentral:tRNA from 1 species
GCGUUCGUAGUUAAGUGGUAGAAUGAUUCGUUGCCAACGAAUAGACCCGAGUCCGAUUCUCGGCGAGCGCA